AUUGAACGCUAGCGGGAUGCCUUACACAUGCGAGUCGAACGGCAGCACGGACUUCGGUCUGGUGGCGAGUGGCGAACGGGUGAGUAAUGUAUCGGAACGUGCCCAGUAGCGGGGGAUAACUACUCGAAAGAGUAGCUAAUACCGCAUACGCCCUACGGGGGAAAGGGGGGGAUCGCAAGACCUCUCACUAUUGGAGCGGCCGAUAUCGGAUUAGCUAGUUGGUGGGGUAAAGGCCCACCAAGGCGACGAUCCGUAGCUGGUUCGAGAGGACGACCAGCCACACUGGGACUGAGACACGGCCCAGACUCCUACGGGAGGCAGCAGUGGGGAAUUUUGGACAAUGGGGGCAACCCUGAUCCAGCCAUCCCGCGUGUGCGAUGAAGGCCUUCGGGUUGUAAAGCACUUUUGGCAGGAAAGAAAUCGCACGGGCUAAUACCUCGUGUGGAUGACGGUACCUGCAGAAUAAGCACCGGCUAACUACGUGCCAGCCGCCGCAGUAA
rnacentral:rRNA from 1 species